GACGAACGCUGGCGGCGUGCCUAAUACAUGCAAGUAGAACGCUGAAGGAGGAGCUUGCUUCUCUGGAUGAGUUGCGAACGGGUGAGUAACGCGUAGGUAACCUGCCUGGUAGCGGGGGAUAACUAUUGGAAACGAUAGCUAAUACCGCAUAAGAGUAGAUGUUGCAUGACAUUUGCUUAAAAGGUGCAAUUGCAUCACUACCAGAUGGACCUGCGUUGUAUUAGCUAGUUGGUGGGGUAACGGCUCACCAAGGCGACGAUACAUAGCCGACCUGAGAGGGUGAUCGGCCACAAUGGGACUGAGACACGGCCCAGACUCCUACGGGAGGCAGCAGGAGGGAAUCUUCGGCAAUGGACGGAAGUCUGACCGAGCAACGCCGCGUGAGUGAAGAAGGUUUUCGGAUCGUAAAGCUCUGUUGUAAGAGAAGAAAGAGGGUGAGAGUGGAAAGUUCACACUGUGACGGUAUCUUACCAGAAAGGGACGGCUAACUACGUG
rnacentral:rRNA from 1 species